UUUGGGAGUGCUCGCAAGAGAACCGGAACACAGGUGCUGCAUGGCUGUCGUCAGCUCGUGUCGUGAGAUGUUGGGUUAAGUCCCGCAACGAGCGCAACCCUUGUCAUUAGUUGCUACGAAAGGGCACUCUAAUGAGACUGCCGGUGACAAACCGGAGGAAGGUGGGGGAUGACGUCAAGUCCUCAUGGCCCUUAUGGGUAGGGCUUCACACGUCAUACAAUGGUCGGGACAGAGGGUCGCCAACCCGCGAGGGGGAGCCAAUCCCACAAACCCGAUCGUAGUCCGGAUUGCAGUCUGCAACUCGACUGCAUGAAGUCGGAAUCGCUAGUAAUCGCGGAUCAGCAUGUCGCGGUGAAUACGUUCCCGGGUCUU
rnacentral:rRNA from 1 species